CCCCCCGCAGCGCCAUGGUCGGCUCCGCGCACGCGCGGCCCCUCAGGCGGCCCCCUGGCGACGGCGGCGUGCGGGCGGGGCGUUGCCGGGGGCGCCCCCCCCGCCGCGCCCCCAUGGCCGCCGCCGCCCGCCCGCGCCAUGCAGCGGCCGCGCGGCCCCGCGGGUGACGGCGCCGGGCGGGGAGCGGCCCCCGGGGAGCGGCCCGGGCCCGGCCACGGCCACGGGCGGGCGCUGGAGGAGCCGGAGGAGCCGGCGGCGCUGAGGCGGGAGCGGCGCCGCCUCCUGCUGCGCCUGCUGCGGGCCGCCGGGCCCCGGCCCCUGCUGGGGCUGCUGCUGCGGGACCGGCGCCUGAGGCGCGGCGUCGCCGGGGAGCGGCGGGAGGCGCCGGGCGCCGGCCCCGCGGCGCUGCUCGGGCGGCCCGGGGAGGAGCCGGAGGGCGGCGGGGACGGGGCGCUGCGGGCCCUGCGGGCGCGGCUGGGCGGGGAGGCCGAGCCCGGGCUGCCGCCGCCCCCGCCCCUGCCCCCGGCCGGGCACGGCGCGGGAGCCGCCGCGGGCCGGCUGCUGGCGGGCAGCAGGGCCCGGAGCGCGCACGGCUGCUGCGGGCACCGCGCCGCGGACACCCCGCGGGCCGCCGAGCGGGGAGCGAGCCCGAGGAGAGUGCUGAGCGCCAGCAAGGGGAGGAACAAGCUGCCGUGGGACGGCCGGCGCGCCGCGGGCGAGGAGGGCGGCUCGGGAGGCGCGAUGCCCUCCGCCAAGGGCGUGCAGCAGUUGGUAGAAGGCAGAUCGAUAGCUGUGAGGUGUCAGAAUUUGAAGACUUCAUCUGUUGCCCUCUGCCAGAGGAAACACGUUAGUGCUGCUUUGGCGCUUACUUGAAAGACGCCUGAAUAACCAGAACCCUCCAGUUAUCCAGAAUUCCUGUUACACUGACGUGUAACUCCUCUGCACGUAGCUUUGUGCUUGCCUGCAGGUAAGUACUGACGAGAAUAACAUUUGAUGUCGUGUCUGAUAGCAUUUGGAAGUUGCUGCUUUUGACUUGUGCAUAAAGGAAGGUGCUGCCGAAAUGCCGGUAGCCUUACCAGCGUGCUCUCGAGGUGGUGGUUCACCUGGUGCCAAAACGUCAGGAGUGUUGUUCCUGCAGGUCUGGAAAGUAAUGCAGUGCCACAGCUAAUGUUUUCAUUCAGUGGAAAAAUUGAAAGAUUUGGUUCAGUCCACGUGAAAAUGUGAACUGCUUCUUCCCCAGCAGGCAGUUAGAGGAGCGCCGUGCUGGCAGGCUUACGGUUUGGCAGUUACCUUCAACGGGCUUGUGCGAGCUGUGAUGUUAAAAACUUUGCAGCGGAUUAACAGCUGCCCACCUGCAAAGCUCUUUCAAGACAUACUGAGACAAGUGUGAGUGGAGCGUGGCUCAAGGAGUGGCUUUGCCUCUCUGUACAGCCCCGUACCAGGACUGCGGGGGCUGCCGUAAGCAUCGUGCAGCUCAUGGAUGUAAAUCCCUUCACCCGUUGUGCAGCUCUCUCUCCAGCACCAGGUGUUCAGCUGGUGCUGGCAGCACGCACUGCCUCUCAGAAAUGCUGGCGGCGCUCAGAUUGUCAGCUUCUAGGAUUGCCUCGUACCCGGAGAGCUGUGCAGGGAAGCGCUGGCUGUAGGGAUGUGCCGGUGAAAGGGACAGGCGUGCUUUGACGUAGCUGCUGCAUCUUUGCCCUCUGCAUGGAGGAAGUGAGCAGCCUUGUUUGCUGAAGAGUUCUGUGAGGGAGGCUUGAUGAGAAGGUUAACCAGAUGCUGUUCUUCAUUGUGUGUUAGGGAGAAAAACAGAGUGGGGAUUCAUUGUAGUUACCUACACAGUAAUUGCUUAAGCAGCCCCAUUGUCAAUGGAGAAAGUGCAAUCUGGAGAAUCUGGAGGGCUGUCUUGGUGGCCAAGGACGUAAUUUAAGAUGACACGAACUGUUUUCAAAACUGUAUCGAGUCCUAAAUCUUAUGGAGUGGCUCAAUCUGCAUUUCCUCUAACGGGAGCUUAAAGAACAGCGUGGUGUAAGCACUGCGAUACUUCUCUGAUCGCUGCGGGUUGACGGCUUUGUUUCCCCAUCUUCACAUCCCGAUCAUUUACUCUGCUGUUAACCUGUCUGAAUGGAUUAUGAAACUCCCCAGGGCAGGGGAUCAUCACCUUAUCUGGCUUUCUGAUAUUUUCCUGCAGUAUUUGCUGGCUUCUUGAUGGUGCUUGUUUAUGUCCGCCCGUGCCACAGAAUGACGUUUAUCCCACGGCAUGUGUCUCUGCGUACAAAUAGGUGGGCUGUGCUUUCCCCUAAGACGCACUGGGACGGGAGAGCUUGGGCAGCGUUUCCUGUAUUUGAAGAUUUUCCUCAUUAACUGAGAGAGAUUGCAAAAGCUGUAUAAAUAGUCCGUUACCCCAGGGCAUUUAUUGAGCAAAGAGAUAGAAAGGCAGCCCCGUGUCUCUCCGUUACUGCCUGCUUUUAGCAUGGUAUGUCAUGCAUAAAAUGUGCGUACUUGUUCAAGUAAAUGUAAAAAAAAAAUUAAUUAUUAAUUCGGACAUUCCUUUGAGAUGAAUUUGUUUAAAAAUUAACUUUAGGAGUCAUUCUGUGGCUGAAAGAAUGCGUGAAAUUAGCUUAAUCUUUAAAGCUCUUUUUCUACUUGUAUUUUUAAAGUCAGGUGACGCUGUGAUUGUCCAAGGCCACGUCUAGACUUUGCUGAUCAGAUAAGAUAGGGAGAUAAACGUGUAGGUUAAUGUGUACCGGGAAUGUGAGGUAGAUAAAGCACAUUGCCUCUGCCGCUGUGUCUACACGCGGCUUCCGUGGGUGAUGUUAACUGGCUUGAUGGGUGAAACGCUGCCCUGCAACCUCGGAAGUGCUCUGACAGUGUAUUUGUUUCAUGCCCGCUGCGAACUUUGGGGGGUCAGUGAUGCUAGUGGGAUUCACACGGCCAGUCUGACUGCGCUGUGCUGCCCACACAGCCCCUCAGGGCUUGCAGCUCUCCUGCACGGGUCCGUGCUGUGCGGGGCUGAGGUGUGAGCGCAGCGACACAGCCUGUCGGGAUCGCCAGCUGCGGCACCACGAGCUGGCAGGGGUUAUUUAACUCCAGAGGUGUAAGAGCGGGGCUUCUCGCUGCUGAAUUUGCACGAGGCUGCAGGUCUGUGCAGCAUUACCAGCCGGCAGUGAGCAGCUUAGGAGCCUCAGAUGCUUCAGCUGCCGGCACCUCAGCCUCGGGGAAUGCCCUGGUUCUGCGCUGAGAGUUGAGGGGAGGGGAGGGGAGGGGAGGGGAGCCUGCUCCUGGCCUGCGGCAGAACAGCACAGCACAGUGUGAUAGCUCAGUGCUGCGGGGCCUUCCUGGGAGCCCUGCUGCGAGCUGUGCCGCUCGGUGCCUGGCCGUGGGACGCACUUACAGAAGGUGACGCAGCCGGGGGACACGCCACCCCGCUGGUAAGAAGGGCACU
rnacentral:lncRNA from 1 species